GGCGGCAAAGGGGUGAAGGCGGAGGAGGUAGUGCCUGGGAACAGGCAACCUGUGUCUGGCGCGGUGCCCUGCAGCUGGUGGCGGGUGGGGCCGGCGGGCGGGCUACCGCUUUCCCGUGUCGACGGAGGCUGCUGACGGGAAAGCGAUCCGGGAGGGAGCGACUCGGCCCAGGUCCCGUCCCCUGAAAACCUGCGAGAUUUCAGGGCCGAGUAAGCCAAGCAGAAGAUCUGGGCAGUGUUAACAAACGGACGUUGAGAUUCGCAGAGGUCAGCCUUCGAGGCCUCUGUCUGCCCGCCACCGGCUCUGUGACGUCUGGCGUGUCACAGCCUGGCCUCAGUUUCCCCACCCUUCUAGAGGGCUUGCAGCUUGCGAGUGGCCCCGAAGAAAAGAGUUAACGUCACAAAUACUACCGGCCUAGUAGCAAGAUGCAGGUCCCCCAGGGAAUGUGCAGGAGUGGGAGCCUUACCAUGUGCUACAGUGCUCGUGACAGUCUGCUUGGCAGUCACUUACAGAGAAGAAUGAGCGGCUGGCUACUGUAUGAACCCUCCCCCACAUCUGUUCAGGUAGUUCUCCGUUAUCAUUAAUCAGGCCACUCUGUACCACGUGCCCCAAUCCUGGCGAUACACCUUCGUUCUCCAUUUCAUGAGAGUCCUUCAGUACAAAGGGAGGAACAGGAUUUCCUGGUCAAGAUGUUUACCAAUUACCACCUUAAAGGUUCUCCCUCACUGCCCUCCUCCAAUAACAAUGCAAAGCAGAGCUGGGGCCCCGUCCAAGCCUUAAACCACAGGAAACAAGGUAUCCAAGUGCUCUCGAUGGUGUGUACCGGUAGCUCUUCUGCCCCGACAUAGGUUCAACUGAAGAGGCUGUUCUAAGAAAGACAACUGAGAUCAUCAGUCACCUCCUCAGAGAAAGUCCACUGAGGUAGAGUUUUGUUUACCCUGUAAACAACACAACAUUUAUUGUUGAAUCCCUUAUUCUUUUACAGUCAGACUAGAGAAAUGCAAUUUUUUUUUUUUUUUUUUGGUGGGGGCAUGAGGGUCAAAGAAGGGGUCAUGGUCGAGAAGAUGGGUCCUGGGAAGAUGGACCUGUAAGCCAUAGAAUCCCCUUGGGGAAGACUCAGGAAGGCAAAGACUGUCCUUUCAACUCAAGUGUCAAAUGCGUUUCCACUUAUCUUACCAAGCAAGACGACAAACAGGAUUUUCCCAGAGUGCCUGGCGAUGCUUAGGUGACAGGAGUGACUGAGGGGCAGGCCUGGAGACAGAUCCUUGGCUGCCCCAUGUAUCCAAACCUCCCCAUGUAUCCAAACCCCCAGAAAAUGCCUGGAAGAGAGUGGAAGGGGAGGAUUGAAGAUAAUCCUUAACUUUUCUAAAGCAGGAAUAUAUUACACUCAAUAAACUUUAAAUAUUUGCCCCUCUUGUGAGUUAGGGUGACUAUUUGCAUUGAAGAGGAAGAAAAUAAUGUUUAGAGCUCAUUUUUCUAAGAUCAUGGAAAACAAACAAACAAAACCCAGAAUCCAUUGCUUUGGGUGAAAAAACAGUGAUAGUAACUCUAAGUACGCUCACUGACUCCAAAAUUGUCAUUAUAGUAUCUAUUAUAUAUUUUAAAAAAACUAAAUUGAAAAAAUAGAUUCCAAAGGUAAGAAGAUUGAGGGUUGGGGGCUAGAGGGAUGGACAGGUAGAGCACAGAGGACUUGGAGGACAGCGAACCUAUUCUGUUUGCUGCUGUAAUAGUGGAUCCACGUCACUAGACAUUUGUCAAAAGCUACAGAACGUACAGCGCCAAGAGUGAAUCCUAACGUAAACUACUGUCUUUGGUUAAUAAUGACGUAUCUAGAUUAGUUUAUCAAUUGUAGUAGCUACACCACAGUAAUACAGAAGUUAAUAACGGGAACUGGCGGGUGAGGUGGGGAGCAGGGGGCAUACGGAACUCAGUCCUUUCUGCUCAGUGUUUCCUGUACAAAAUAAAACCUACUUAAAAAAAUGGAUCCCACACCUGGAAUUUGUUGGCCAGCCUGAAAUGAAAUUCAAGGGUCCAGGUCCCUGUCUCUCACAGGUUUGUUUCCGUAGCAAGCCCACGUCGUCAGUGUGUCAUUGGGAAGAGCUGCGUCCUAGGAUCCGGAGCUGAAGCCCUGACAGUCCAGAAUGUUCACAGGACAUGAGCUGGGGUGAGUCAGCCAACCAGCCUGGGU